rnacentral:rRNA from 1 species
UGCCUGCCCAGUGAUUGAAAAAUUAAACGGCUGCGGUACUCUGACCGUGCAAAGGUAGCAUAAUCAUUAGCCUAUUAAUUUUAGGCUAGAAUGAAUGGCAAGACGAAGGAAAAGCUGUCUCUUUCUAUUAAUUUUUAACUUUUCUUUUUGGUGAAGAGACCAAAAUAUAAAAGUGGGACGAGAAGACCCUAUUGAGUUUUAGUUAUUGAUUAGGAAAAAAUUUUUUUUAAUAACUUUGGUUGGGGCAACUGUUUAUAAAAUUAAACAUAAAAAAAAUAAAAAUUGAUUUAAAUCUUUAAUAUAUGUAAGACCUAGAAUUUUUCUAGAAUUAAAAAUAAUUACCAUAGGGAUAACAGCGUAAUUUCUUUUGAGAGUACAUAUUGACAAAGGAGUUUGCGACCUCGAUGUUGGAUCAAGUUUUCCUGGAGGUGUAGCAGUUUCCAAGGGUUGGUUUGUUCAACCAUAAAAAUCUU